rnacentral:lncRNA from 1 species
AUGAAAGAAGUAGAUGCUUUUGAAAGAAUCAAAAAAGAAUGGGCUUGGAAAACAGGAUCUGACAGCCAACCUAUAAGUGAUAAUCAAAAAAUGAGUUGUGAAUAUUUUAUAAAUGGCCUUUAGAGGAAGCUCAGAAGAUGGGUGCUAGCUGCUUGUCACUCACAUAACAUGAUUGGUAAAUGUCAGUAUAAAAUUAUAAGAAGAUGAAUUAUCAAUCACUAAUGACUUCAGACAUUAUUCUGAUGUUGCAAGUUAGAAAUUUCUGAAAUCUAUUAUAAUAGAGAUUUACUUUUUAAAACUACGGGAGAAUUUUUGAUAAAGAGAAUGUGGAUGCUAAAGUUGAAGAUAAAAAAAUAAUGAAGUGUGUUUGUCUAUGAAGCCUGUAUUCCAGUCCUUCUUAGGAAGAAAUCACAGACUGGGAAGUGCCACGUGGAAAAUAUCUUUAAAGCAAAGAGUAGUGAAGAUGAGAAUAAAAAUGAUCUGUCUGUUGUCCCACUAAGCAAUCUGGAACCCAUCACUGCAUUACAGAUCUGGCUAGCCAACUGGAAAGGGAUCAUCCAGAAAGCAAAUACUUCUCAUAGGCACUUAUAGGUAUACAUUUCUCUAAGCCUUGCUUGGGCUGCAUCCCACAAGUUUUGGGUAAAGAACAUCAAAAACUUCAUUGGAAAUUGCCAAGGGUCUCAAAAAACUCUUCCUUUUCCCUGGCACCAGGUCUUAUUUUACUUGAAUUGCAAGAGGAAACAUUCACCCUGGAAGAAGCAGGUUUACACAAUACUGUGAUC